CAGAUGCUGCAUGGCUGUCGUCAGCUCGUGCCGUGAGGAGUUGGGUUAAGUCCCGCAACGAACGCAACCCUCGCUGCCAGUUACCAUGUCUGGGGGGACCGCCGGGACCAACCCGGAGGAAGGUGGGGAUGACGUCAAAUCAGCACAGCUCUUACGUCCAGGGCUACACACACGCUACAAUGGCCGGUACUACGCGCAGCGAAGGGGCGACCCGGAGCGAAUCGCAGCAAAGCCGGUCUCAUUUGGGAUUGCACGCUGCAACUCCCCUGCAUGAACGCGGAGUUGCUAGAAACCGCAGGUCAUCACACUGCGGUGAAUACGUUCCCGGGCCUUGUACACACCG
rnacentral:rRNA from 1 species